GAUGCGCGGGACUGAAUUGUCAAACAGAUUCCAUUUCGUGUCUUCCUCCCAUGUCAGCGGAGCGACAAUUGAUAGAGAACCGGAUUCAGUUAGACAGUGCUUAGUCGAGAGAUUCAUGGCCACCGACAAUACAGAAAGCUUGUAUCUUUGGGUGUAUAAUACUCGACCAAUAGGAGCACACUGGUUGUUGCUUGCUAUCGAUCCUAUAAAAGAAGUGGUCUAUUAUCUGAAUUCGGUAGAUGGUGAGUGGACUAAUUAUCCGGAUAUGAAGUCAAUGAUUGAUAGAUCAAUAUAAGUAUUCCGAAGUCAAAGAGACGCACAGGUAUCACGGACUAAAUCAAACAACAUUACUUGAAUCAAAGUGCAGUGUCCGCAACAGCGAAACAGUACAGAUUGCGGAUACUUUGUUUUGAGGUUUUUGAAAGAAAUCCUUCAAAUGAAUCAAUUACAGAUUCCAAUCACGUACUUUGAUGAAUUCUAUUCUGCUUCUUACACGAGACUUAAGUUGGAAGAAAUCAAAGAGGAAUUGUGUCAAUUUUAUAUUCAGCAAAGAUUCAUAUAGGACCAGGACCGUCCGCUCGUCGGAUUUUCAGAAUUUCGGGAUUAUUCUGAUUUAGUUACGUUAGAGAUGAUUUAGUUAUAUGUAUCUGUUGCAAACAUAUGUGAAUUGAAUUAUAAUGGUG